GGCCCUGAGUUCGAUCCCUGGUACCGAAGGAAUAAGGAAAAAAAAUGUUUAAGGCUUUGACUCCAUGUCUCUUCGUUUUCUCCAGCGGAAGCAGAAUAAUUCGGGUUAUUGCGCCGGUACCAUUUACACUCUGAGGGUGUAGACGAAGACACCGUUUACCUGGCCACAGAGUUCUUCGCGCUUCUUUCCAGGAGGCGGCUGAACCCUAUCCGCCUGAUGCUAACUGGUUUCUGGAGAAGCUGUCACCCGAGACAAAUGGAGGAAAGUGGGCUUCAGGGUUCGAGCUAUGGUGUCAUUUGCUGGAAGGGUGAUGAUGUGAGGCCCUCGUUCAAAAGCGGGAAAGAAGUGGCAUCAAAGCUCAGGAUGGGAAAUACCUCAAGCAAAAUCCACUGAUAAUCCGAAGUUCCUCACCACAUUUCUUCCCCAUCCCUAGGAUGUUUGCCCUUCAAAACUGGGUACUGUGCUGGCUGCCUUGCUAAAUCUAUUUCUUUUUUUUCUUCCCGGCCUAGCCAGGCAGAGUGACGAUUGCUUUGCGUGCCUGACUAUGGCCUGGGCUUCAAGUUGGCAAAGGCCCCGGUAGGAGAAGCACCGGGGUCCCCUUCACCCCAGGGCGUGUCCAGCACAGAGCCCGGGACAGCCUGACACACAGCUGUGGGUUUCCAGCCUUCGGAGUCGUCCUUAGCACACAGUUCGCUCUGGUUUUUCUUCCCAGAUAGAACCGGAAGUCACAGGUGGCACUUCUGUUCUUCUAGGCUCAGCCUGCAGUCCGCGGGGGCCUGGCUCAGGUGCUCCGGCCUCCAGCCUCGGGAGCCCAGCGCUGACUCCCCGCCUGCCUCCUCCCGGUGCGCAGGAAGAGAGGGACCCAAAUGGCUGCCUGGAGCAGGGAAACUUCUGAGGUGCGGAGAAAGAAGCGGCGCCACAGGACUCGGAAGGUGGUCGCCUCCUUCGGGUAUAGGGGCCAUAGCCACGUCUCAAGUCAGCCACACGGCACCGCGCUCCUGCGGAGACCGAGUGGGCGGGGCCGUGUCACCGCGCGUGUCCCAGUGAGCUUGCUUAGAAAGCGGUGGGGACGCUCACGGUGUGCCUUCCGCUGGCCUCGAAGUCUGUGACACGGGGCUCUUGCUGGUCUGCUUCGCACAGUGGGGAGGUCAGGCCAAGGGAAGUUAGCGGACCUCCGCGUUAUCUCCGGGUGGGUGCUCUCCAGCCUCUCUGUUGUGUUGCCUUUCAGUAAAGCCACGUUUUUUUAGCCAUCCGAUGCAAACCGUGAGGAGGUGGACUCUUAAUGAAAUGAAUGCUCCUGCUUGGAGCUUUUCACACCAUUUCUAACUCAGAGAAGCAUUGCAAGGACGGGACAAGGAACUCUCGGAGACCCUUCGCCUGCUGUGGAUUCACGAGUUGUUUACAUCUCUUCCCAUAGGAUUAUUUACUUUCUCUGAUUCACUUGAAAAUAAAUUGGAGUCAUCGUGCCCUCUUUGCCCCGCAUUCUGCAGUACACAUUUCCUAGAAACGAAGAUACUCUUUUGACCUCAGUGUAAUCAUUAAAAGUAGGAAACCUGCUGUUGAAACACGACAGUUGUCUAACCUGCCACUUCCGCUCAGAGUCCACCAGUUUUCUCAGCAGCACCGUCUGUAAGCGCCCUCCCGGUUCUGCUUCCCUGGAGCUGCGCUGCUGGUUACUUUUUGGCCUGGAGCAGCUCCUCCAGCUUCUAGCUCAAGCUCCCCAGGAUUAGUUCCAGCCCAGGCCGGAGAACUGCGAUCUCAGCGCCUCUAUGAGACGGUGCGGGGUUCUCAUCUGCACCAUCCCAGUUGCUGCUGGGUUUGGUCCCUUGAGGAAGGCGGUGCCUGUGAGGGUCCCUUCCUGUAAACUCGCUCCUGUUCACUUUGCAAUCGGUGUAAGUAUUUUUGUGGAAACUUUGAGACUCAUUAAACAUCGUUCCUAUCCAACCCUAGAGAAGCCCGUGGGUCUGUGAUUCUCCCCCUCUCACUGUCUCUGUCUCCCUCCUUCCCUCUUUUCCUCCCUCCCUCCCUUCCCUCCCUUUGUAUCACUGGGUUUACUUCCCAUAUGGUGGAGCCAGUCUUCGUGAACUUCCUCCGAAGGGAAGCCUGUGGGGACAAAAGUAUAAGGUUCUCCAUAAUGGUGUCUUCAUCCUCCCCUCUUCUGGGAUUGCUACUUGGAUUGAUUUUUGCAAUCCUAGGUGGGAAAUCGUGUUUGCGGCUUUUGUUUUACUGUCUUCUAGUGUCCUGUGUUGCUUUUGAAAAGCUUCCGUCAUUCCAACUUGCGAAAGGGUGAGACUUUUUUUUUCUCCUCUGAAAGAUUUGAAUGUUUGUUUUAAAAAGGUAUUUGGUGGGAAGCCCGUCUCUCAUUUUGGUACAUUUUGGUACUGGGCACUU